rnacentral:rRNA from 1 species
UACGUAGGGUGCGAGCGUUGCCCGGAUUUAUUGGGCGUAAAGAGCGUGUAGGCGGCCAGGUAGGUCCGCUGUGAAAACUCGAGGCUUAACCUCGAGAUGUCGGUGGAAACCAUCUGGCUAGAGUCCGGAAGAGGAGAGUGGAAUUCCUGGUGUAGCGGUGAAAUGCGCAGAUAUCAGGAAGAACACCCGUGGCGAAGGCGGCUCUCUGGGACGGUACUGACGCUGAGACGCGAAAGCGUGGGGAGCGAACAGG